rnacentral:tmRNA from 1 species
GGUGGCGUAAUGGUUUCGACGGGAUCAGACUGCUGGUAAGGUUGCAUGUCGAGGUUCCACCAGGCCUCGUUAAACCGGUGGACAAAUGAUAACUGCCAACACUGAAAUGGCACUAGCCGCCUAAUAAGGUCGGCCGUCCGCCGCUUGCGUGUCUACCGCUUGCGGGUCGGGCGUCACAUUGUAGACUGGCGGCGUCCGUUGGCCACAGACAAGGCGCCGCGAGAUUUAUCUGUGGCUAGCCGAUGUAUUCCCUGCCCGUGGGGACGGCAUCGUGCGAAGCACAACCACGGGAAAAGCAUGUAGUAGCCUUCCCGGCGAUGCUCUCGGACGCGAGUUCGACUCUCGCCGCCUCCACCA